UCACCCCACCCCAGUCCAAACAAACUUUAGAUAAUCUCUCACAUGGAUUUUCAUUUCUGCCCCCCACCAUCUCACCUGGCGGGGGGAGUGGGGGGCAUCCCUCAACCCGGCCCAGCCCAACCCCACAUCGACAGCCCAAGAGGACGAAGGAAAGGAAGGCAGCAGGUCCAGAUAGAAUCUGCUGCUGGACUGUGCAGAACAGCUUUGUCAGGUAAGAAGUCCAGAACGAAGGCUGCCAACAUCCAGAGACUGGUGACUCCUCGUGCGCUGCAGCACUCAAGAGACAGCACACCCAGAAGAACAAGGAGGAGGCCUCAGAGUACGCCAAGCUGCUGGCCAAGAGGAUGAAGACAGGAGGCCAAGGAGAAGUGCCAGGAACAGAUCGCCAAGAGGCGCCGCCUUCAUUCUAUGAGGGCGUCCACAUCCAAGUCAGAGUCCAGCCAGAAGUGAAACAGAAUCAAAUAAAGUCAUGUUUUGCUGAAACAG